AUGCCUAUAGCUCAAUUGGAUAGAGCAUCAGUUUCCGGAACUGAUGAUUCCGGUUCAACUCCGGAUAGGCAUA
rnacentral:tRNA from 1 species